rnacentral:rRNA from 1 species
CACGUAGUUGGCCGGUGCUUCUUUAGUGGGUACCGUCACUUGCGCUUCGUCCCCACCGAAAGAGGUUUACAACCCGAAGGCCGUCAUCCCUCACGCGGCGUUGCUGGAUCAGGCUUCCGCCCAUUGUCCAAUAUUCCCCACUGCUGCCUCCCGUAGGAGUCUGGGCCGUGUCUCAGUCCCAGUGUGACCGGUCACCCUCUCAGGCCGGCUACCCGUCGAAGCCAUGGUGAGCCAUUACCUCACCAUCAAGCUGAUAGGCCGCGAGCACAUCCCUGGCCGAAAAACUUUCCACCACACCUCAUGCGAAGAAUGGUCAUAUCCGGUAUUAAUCACCGUUUCCGGUGGCUAUCCCAAAGCCAGGGGCAGAUUACUCACGUGUUACUCACCCGUUCGCCGCUCGAGUACCACCGAAGUGGCCUUUCCGCUCGACUUGCAUGUGUUAAGCACGCCGCCAGCGUUCGUCCUGAGCCAGGAUCAAACUCU